ensembl:lncRNA
CCCGCUUCGCGUUUGCUUCCCCGAAGACCGGGACACCCCGACGGCACGGAGCAGCCCCGGCCCAUCUCCACAGAGUCACCACGAGCCGCCGUCUCCCCACGUCGAGGAACAGAGUUUAAAGGGAGAACUGCGGCGCUGGGGAAUGCUUUUGACCGCCGACCGGGGGGGUCAGCCCUGGGCCGGCUUUGGGGUCAGGGAAACCCGAGGAAAGCGGCCUCUUUGGGAGACGCGAUCCCCGCUUUCCCCUUUUGCUGUCGUCUUUCUGUCCCUCCCGUGGAAGCGGGACACUCCCGCACCCCGCGGAUGGCAACGGAGGGAAACGAUCCUCUCCGAACUCCGCCGCCCCGUUAGUCUGCUUUCGGCCGCGACUUUCGCCGAGAAACCCAAAAGCGCUGAGAGCAGCACACCGUCAGUCGAGCAAAAACUCCAGCGUUUCGGAGGAGCUCUCAAAAUACAGCCCUACCUCCGCCCGCCGCCGAAACCGGACCCGUUAGAAGAGGUAAACCAUUUAGCCGGGAAGAAAAUACCAAACAAAAGCAAGCAAACAAACACACAAACCACAACAAAAAUGAAAAUGAAUCACACUCUCUCUCUCUCUAUAUAUCUCGGUAGCCUGAAGCACCUCCGAACGGGACAGUGUGGGACGGAAUGCUCCGCUGGGGCCGAGAGGGGAAACUAUGGGGAUAACGCUGCUGAGUGCGGAGUCGGGGAGCGCAGGAGAGCGAUGCGGGAGCGCGGUGUGUUUCUGACAGAGUGCGGUGGUUUAUGGGGCUGGGAUCGUAGUGCGGAAAGAGGGAAAAAGGCAAGAAAAGAAGCAAGAAAAAAAAAAAAAAGAACCCAAGAAAAACAGAAGGAAAGAUGUAAGAUAAAAAGGACACCUUUAUUGCUGGCCCGGCUUGAGAUACGCAGCUCCGGGAGCGCCGCUGAAGCGCGCGGUGGCUGCGGGGUCCUUCGGGGAGGGGGUGCCCGUUUGAAACUCAACGCGGGACACGAAAAUAAAGGAGUGACGAUAACGAAAACGGUUCCUGAUCGAACUGUUCCGAUCCCGUUUUCAAACAGGCUGCGGUGUUUCAAAACGGGUCGGGAGCACACGAUAGUUCUGAAGGUGAAAGCUGUCCUUGGGAACAGGAGAGGGAAAGUAUCAGUCACACAGAGGAAGCUUCAUGGUUGAAGAAUUAGGAAAAACCUUGUAUGAAAAGCACACACAAAGAGGAGUGUUUUUGCUCUGUUUGUCUGCAGACCUUUGAACAUGAUGAAAGUCAGUACAACCUUCAUAUGAAGCAAUAGGGCUCUAGAUGGCCGAAGGACUUUACACAAGCAACAGAGGGCAACUGAAUGAGAAGGAAUGUUCCUCCAAAACUCGUACCAGUGCCCAAACUCCUUUUUUGCUUGUCCAAUUCUUUGUGGUGGCUGCACAGAGAACACAUGCCCCAGACAACACAGGGCUGAUGCCUAGACCCAAGCCAUUUGGAGGUGCACUGACUAAGUGCGGACAUCCCACGGGUGGGGGCGUGCUGCAGAACUCCCCUUGGAGCAACCUUCAUGAGAAGCUGAGCUGAAGAACAAGACCAACAUGAAUGCGGAGGAGGAGGAUUACAGCUGGUUUCAAUACAGAGAACUCCAAACAUUAACUUGUUGAGGUCACAUUAGCAUUGUUGGAAGCAUUUGCUGUGGGAGGA